GGAGGCAGAACUCCUGCCCUGGGCAGUGCCAGCCCUGAGCAGAUGGAGCAGAGAGGCUGUGGAGUCUCCUCCCUGGGGACAUUGCAGAGCCACACGGACACUGCUGGGCCCUGUGCUCUGGGAUGGCCCUGCUGGAGCAGGGAGGUGGCACCAGAGCAGCCCCUGUGGGCCCCUCCAGCCUCACCCACCCCGGGGCUCUGGUGUGGGGUCAGAAGCAGGACAGGGGCUCAAUGACAGUGAAAAGUCUCACCACCAACAAAACAAAUUAAGAUUCCAGAAGGAGAGACACAGAAGAAGGGUGGAACUCCAAUGGGGGAAAAAAGAAGCAGUGACAGACAGAAACACAGCAAAGCAGGACAGUGUGGCUGGCAGGGAAGGCUGCUGCCAUUGAAACAAGUGUGGACAGGGUUCAAGGAAAUGGAGCUCAGAGUCAGCUGAACUUGGAGGUGUCAGGAAAACAACUGUACCUUGCAGCAUGGGUUGUCAGCCUAAUUAGUUUGGAGGAGGAAAAAAUUUGUGCAUUUCUUAAAAAUAAAAAGAUGGAAUACAUUUCAUUGAUAUUCCUAACAUUUUCACUUGAAAUUUAUUUAUAAAGUCACUGAACUAAUGAAAAUUUUGUUGAGAUCUGGGUGCAGCUCCCUCUGUUCAAACCCUUCUCUGUU